rnacentral:rRNA from 1 species
UACGUAGGCAGCGAGCGUUGUUCGGAGUUACUGGGCGUAAAGAGCUCGUAGGUGGUUUGUCGCGUUGUUCGUGAAAUCUCACGGCUUAACUGUGAGCGUGCGGGCGAUACGGGCAGACUGGAGUACUGCAGGGGAGACUGGAAUUCCUGGUGUAGCGGUGGAAUGCGCAGAUAUCAGGAGGAACACCGGUGGCGAAGGCGGGUCUCUGGGCAGUAACUGACGCUGAGGAGCGAAAGCGUGGGGAGCGAACAGG